CGCUCGCUCUCCUGCGCUCGCUCUUACUGCAAAACUAGGUCAAUUGGGAACCCACCUGCAUAUUGAUUGCAGGCUGGCACCAGGUAUAAAGCUAAGCCGGUGCUUCUUUGGAUUAUUCCUCCCAUGCAUUCAGCGCAAAGCAGCAAUAAAUGCUGACACUCUGCGACGGACUGAUCGGCAAGAGUAGAUCAUAUGACAGCCACAGCGCGGCAGGUUGUUUUAUUCCGGCGUUGCGGAGAGAGGUGCUUGUGUGAUUUCCCCCACCAGUGAGAGUAUAGCGCCUCCGGUCCUGGGGGUUUGAGCGCUGCCUUCACCUCCGUGGCAACUCACACAGCCUUAAGUGAAGAAUCAAGACACCUGCCUAGCCGUUGUUGUGAGGGCUCCUCCUCAGUGGAGCCUGCUGUCUUCUCUUGUCUUGUUUGGUUUUGAAUUGUUUUACCUUGUCUUAUUUGGUUUUAUUAAGUAGGCCUACCAUUUCCUGGUUCGCCUGGUUUUAUUUUAUCUCUGGAUUGUUGCGUGUGCCCAUGCUUCUGUGAUCGGGCUGAAGCAAUUCUUUGCCCGAGUGUCGUGCCGGGGAUUUUAAAUUGCCCCCGUUGCUGGUCUUAGCCUGUGGGGAGCCAGACCAGCUCGCGAUUGAGGCUGGGACCAUUACUACCAUGAACGGAGGACGUACCAGUGGCCCUGGGACCUUAGGUGGUGGGUCGUUUUCACACUUUCUUUUGUACAGCACCGGGUGGGCUGCAGUGAUUUUCGUUUUGUGUGAUUUUCUUUUGGGUCCACGGCUGCUGGUAAGUCCAAGUUCCAUGAUUGUUUUAUUUUCACAUUAAGACACUGUCAACAAUGACGCUACAUUUUGGUUUCUAAUAUUUUAUUUAUUUUUAUUAUAAAUAAACUUUUAAUAUUGGAGCCAACCUGCCUCGGAGUGCAUCCUUGAAUCUGUGCGGCCUCUUUUUAUUCCUUUUAUCUAUUUUUCUUAAAUAUAUUUCCUAGGGGUGAAA